AAGUGGUCCUUGUUAGGAACAUGGUCAGAAAGCAGAAGACACUGAGAGACUUCAGUCCGCUUUUGCAGGCAUCUAACAGAACAGUUAGCUCAUGGAAGGAGCCUGUUUCCAUGGCAGGGGAGGAACUGAAGGAAAGACAUCCUAGACCAUGCCUCCUCAGCGCCAUUUCUCAAGUUGCAGUAGCCAAUUCAAAAGGGUAGAACCUCAAAGUGUAAGAGUUGGGUUGCAAGAUGAACAUCUUGGUAAUUUCAAGAAGCAUUCCUGAAGUUGUUGAAGCAGUUCAUCAUUGUCCUUCCACCUGUUCCCCCUGGGUAUAUCAUGUGUACUGUGAGAAGCAGGAAAGCUGACCUAGAACAUCUUCAAGUGGAUGCAGCUCUGAGCACACGAUGGACGAUGAGGAUUCAUGGUUGGUGAAGUGCUUUCAAUGGGAGAAGAUAAACAGCAUUGUGAAGAUGCAGAUGAGGUUGGCUUUUGUGACCUGAUGGUUCCCAUGAAGAGAGGAAUGCAUUUGUUAGAACAGGAGGCGCAGACAAACCACCAGCAUCAGAAUUAUAGGCUUCAUCUUCAGCAGGCAUCACUUACCAGUUUAUUACCAUGGAGACAAAGCCCUGUCUGUCCUCUGCAUUUCCAAGUGGUUUAUUAACCUUUGACUGUGCACAGAGAUUGGUACAUCUUCUCCACCAACUAAAAGGCACUUAAAGGAAAGAGGAUGAGGAAGGGGAGGAGGAAGAAGGGAAAAAGGAGGAGGAAGGGGAGUAGGAGGAAGGGGAGGAGCAGGACACUAUCAACUUUUUCGUACUGAUUAAGACCAAGAUUCUCUACAGCAGAAAGUGGUAAAAUACGGUUUCUAGGACUUAGGCCUGUGGGGUGAAUCCCAACAAGUGAUUUCACUGUUCUGUGCCUCAGUUUCUUCUUUUGUGAAAUGAGCUAAUUGUUGGUACAGCAUUUAAAAAAUAGUGCUAUAAACUAAGAGAUAACCAAACGGGAGAGGCUGAAUGGGCAGAAAGGGAAUGUUGAAUGAAUACAGCUGAUCUUAUCGAUCAUUAAGAACUGUUGGGCAACAUUAACCUAAAUGGAGACAAAUUCAAAGCAUUUCCACUAAAAUCAAGAACAAGACAAGGCUGUCUACUCUCUCAUACCUAGUCAAUAUAGUACUAGAAGUCUUAGUCAGAGCAAUAGACAACUGAAGGAGAUCAAGGGGAUGCAAAUAGGAAGAGAAGGAGUCAAAAUAUCUUUAUUUGCCGAUUAUAUAAUAGUAUAUAUAAGAGACCCUAAAAAUCCCACCAGGACAUUCCUACAGCUGAUAAACACAUUCAGCAAAGUAGCAGGAUACAAAAUCAAUUCACAAAAUCAGUAGCCUUCCCAUAUACAAAUCACAAACUGAGAAUGAAAUCAGGGCAACAAUACUUUUUAUACUAGCCUCAAAAAUACCUUGGGGAAACUCUAACCAAUCAAGUGAAAGACUUAUAUGAUAAAAAUUUUAAGACACAUAAGAAAGACAUUGAAGACAGUAUCAGAAGAUGGAAAUGCUCAUGGAUCGGUAGGAUUAGCAUAGUUAAAAUGACCAUCCUACCCAGGAAAGGCGCAAAGCUACACAGAGAAACCCUGUCUCGAAAAACCAAAAAAAAAAAAAAACAAAACCAAA